UCAGCCACACGGGCACUGAGACACGGGCCCGACUCCUACGGGAGGCAGCAGUAAGGAAUAUUGGACAAUGGGCGCAAGUCUGAUCCAGCCAUGCCGCGUGAGUGAUUGAGGUCCUCUGGAUUGUAAGCUUCUUUUAUAAGGGACGAAAAAAGGGAAUUCUUUCUCACUUGACGGUACCUUAUGAAUAAGCACCGGCUAACUCCAUGCCAGCAGCCGCGGUAAUACGGAGGGUGCAAGCGUUAUCCGGAUUCACUGGGUUUAAAGGGUGCGUA
rnacentral:rRNA from 1 species